rnacentral:rRNA from 1 species
GGUUAAGCGACUAAGCGUACACGGUGGAUGCCCUGGCAGUCAGAGGCGAUGAAGGACGUGCUAAUCUGCGAUAAGCGUCGGUAAGGUGAUAUGAACCGUUAUAACCGGCGAUUUCCGAAUGGGGAAACCCAGUGUGAUUCGUCACACUAUCAUUAACUGAAUCCAUAGGUUAAUGAGGCGAACCGGGGGAACUGAAACAUCUAAGUACCCCGAGGAAAAGAAAUCAACCGAGAUUCCCCCAGUAGCGGCGAGCGAACGGGGAGCAGCCCAGAGCCUGAAUCAGUGUGUGUGUUAGUGGAAGCGUCUGGAAAGGCGCGCGAUACAGGGUGACAGCCCCGUACACAAAAAUGCACAUGCUGUGAGCUCGAUGAGUAGGGCGGGACACGUGGUAUCCUGUCUGAAUAUGGGGGGACCAUCCUCCAAGGCUAAAUACUCCUGACUGACCGAUAGUGAACCAGUACCGUGAGGGAAAGGCGAAAAGAACCCCGGCGAGGGGAGUGAAAAAGAACCUGAAACCGUGUACGUACAAGCAGUGGGAGCCUCUUUAUGGGGUGACUGCGUACCUUUUGUAUAAUGGGUCAGCGACUUAUAUUCUGUAGCAAGGUUAACCGAAUAGGGGAGCCGAAGGGAAACCGAGUCUUAACUGGGCGUUAAGUUGCAGGGUAUAGACCCGAAACCCGGUGAUCUAGCCAUGGGCAGGUUGAAGGUUGGGUAACACUAACUGGAGGACCGAACCGACUAAUGUUGAAAAAUUAGCGGAUGACUUGUGGCUGGGGGUGAAAGGCCAAUCAAACCGGGAGAUAGCUGGUUCUCCCCGAAAGCUAUUUAGGUAGCGCCUCGUGAACUCAUCUCCGGGGGUAGAGCACUGUUUCGGCAAGGGGGUCAUCCCGACUUACCAACCCGAUGCAAACUGCGAAUACCGGAGAAUGUUAUCACGGGAGACACACGGCGGGUGCUAACGUCCGUCGUGAAGAGGGAAACAACCCAGACCGCCAGCUAAGGUCCCAAAGUCAUGGUUAAGUGGGAAACGAUGUGGGAAGGCCCAGACAGCCAGGAUGUUGGCUUAGAAGCAGCCAUCAUUUAAAGAAAGCGUAAUAGCUCACUGGUCGAGUCGGCCUGCGCGGAAGAUGUAACGGGGCUAAACCAUGCACCGAAGCUGCGGCAGCGACGCUUAUGCGUUGUUGGGUAGGGGAGCGUUCUGUAAGCCUGUGAAGGUGUGCUGUGAGGCAUGCUGGAGGUAUCAGAAGUGCGAAUGCUGACAUAAGUAACGAUAAAGCGGGUGAAAAGCCCGCUCGCCGGAAGACCAAGGGUUCCUGUCCAACGUUAAUCGGGGCAGGGUGAGUCGACCCCUAAGGCGAGGCCGAAAGGCGUAGUCGAUGGGAAACAGGUUAAUAUUCCUGUACUUGGUGUUACUGCGAAGGGGGGACGGAGAAGGCUAUGUUGGCCGGGCGACGGUUGUCCCGGUUUAAGCGUGUAGGCUGGUUUUCCAGGCAAAUCCGGAAAAUCAAGGCUGAGGCGUGAUGACGAGGCACUACGGUGCUGAAGCAACAAAUGCCCUGCUUCCAGGAAAAGCCUCUAAGCAUCAGGUAACAUCAAAUCGUACCCCAAACCGACACAGGUGGUCAGGUAGAGAAUACCAAGGCGCUUGAGAGAACUCGGGUGAAGGAACUAGGCAAAAUGGUGCCGUAACUUCGGGAGAAGGCACGCUGAUAUGUAGGUGAAGUCCCUCGCGGAUGGAGCUGAAAUCAGUCGAAGAUACCAGCUGGCUGCAACUGUUUAUUAAAAACACAGCACUGUGCAAACACGAAAGUGGACGUAUACGGUGUGACGCCUGCCCGGUGCCGGAAGGUUAAUUGAUGGGGUCAGCGCAAGCGAAGCUCUUGAUCGAAGCCCCGGUAAACGGCGGCCGUAACUAUAACGGUCCUAAGGUAGCGAAAUUCCUUGUCGGGUAAGUUCCGACCUGCACGAAUGGCGUAAUGAUGGCCAGGCUGUCUCCACCCGAGACUCAGUGAAAUUGAACUCGCUGUGAAGAUGCAGUGUACCCGCGGCAAGACGGAAAGACCCCGUGAACCUUUACUAUAGCUUGACACUGAACAUUGAGCCUUGAUGUGUAGGAUAGGUGGGAGGCUUAGAAGUGUGGACGCCAGUCUGCAUGGAGCCGACCUUGAAAUACCACCCUUUAAUGUUUGAUGUUCUAACGUUGACCCGUAAUCCGGGUUGCGGACAGUGUCUGGUGGGUAGUUUGACUGGGGCGGUCUCCUCCUAAAGAGUAACGGAGGAGCACGAAGGUUGGCUAAUCCUGGUCGGACAUCAGGAGGUUAGUGCAAUGGCAUAAGCCAGCUUGACUGCGAGCGUGACGGCGCGAGCAGGUGCGAAAGCAGGUCAUAGUGAUCCGGUGGUUCUGAAUGGAAGGGCCAUCGCUCAACGGAUAAAAGGUACUCCGGGGAUAACAGGCUGAUACCGCCCAAGAGUUCAUAUCGACGGCGGUGUUUGGCACCUCGAUGUCGGCUCAUCACAUCCUGGGGCUGAAGUAGGUCCCAAGGGUAUGGCUGUUCGCCAUUUAAAGUGGUACGCGAGCUGGGUUUAGAACGUCGUGAGACAGUUCGGUCCCUAUCUGCCGUGGGCGCUGGAGAACUGAGGGGGGCUGCUCCUAGUACGAGAGGACCGGAGUGGACGCAUCACUGGUGUUCGGGUUGUCAUGCCAAUGGCACUGCCCGGUAGCUAAAUGCGGAAGAGAUAAGUGCUGAAAGCAUCUAAGCACGAAACUUGCCCCGAGAUGAGUUCUCCCUGAC